GACAGAGGGUGCAAGCGUUGUUCGGAAUUAUUGGGCGUAAAGGGCGCGUAGGCGGUCUUGCAAGUCAUAUGUGAAAUCCCAGGGCUUAACCCUGGAAGUGCAUCUGAUACUGCUCGACUUGAGUCCCGGAGAGGGUGGUGGAAUUCCCAGUGUAGAGGUGAAAUUCGUAGAUAUCCGGAGGAACACCAGUGGCGAAAGCGGCCACCUGGACUGCACCUGACGCUGACACGCGAAAGCUAGGGGAGCGAACGGG
rnacentral:rRNA from 1 species